GCCGCGCUCCCGCCGCGCCGCGGCCCAGCCCUCACCGGACGCCUCUGGAGACAGAGCUCUGCACGGGGGCCGCUCGUCGGUUCCUGCCCAAGGAGGCCGAGCCCGGGCCGGGGAGGCAGUUACCUCCGGUGGGUUUGGCGGCGGAAGGGACUCGGCGGGUGGACCGAAAGGGCAGAGCCAAGCGGAAAGCAGGAGGCGGACUGGCAACUGUGGCACCAGCGGGUGGAGGAGGAGCAGCAGAGGAGCUUUCACUACCCAUGAGAUCAAUGCCUGACAAUGCAUUUGUUGGAGUGGUGAAGGGAAGGCCACUGUUGAGAUUGCUUGACCAAAUGGAAUUGCUGAAUGGAGUGCUGGACCACAGGCCACUCGGGUUGCCAAGGAUCGACUGCAGUAAAGACAAAGCAAGGUAGGUGCAACACUGGAUUCGGGAAGUCUGAAAGUGAUCAGAAUGGCUAUUUUGCAACUGUCCAUCAUGCUGGACGUGACAGAGGCAAUGUCCAGCCGUGCAAUGGGAGCAGAACUGCUCUUUCCACAAUCCUACAGCAUGUGGUAAUGGAACACACUUUUGUAAGCACUGCAGGAAGCUCUUCUGAUAAACAUUUUGACUUGAAUCAAUUUACAAUGACUUAUUACCUGUGAGUGAGCAGGCUAAUGACUCUUCGGCCAAAGCCAUGUCAACUUACAUAUGUUUGUCUUCCUGUGUAGUUAAGUUAACUAACUUCCUUUUCCUUUAUUCUUCAGUGGCUUUCUUUUCCCCAAAAUGUAAAAAUCUUCUAAGCAAAAAUGGAUGGCAGACACAGAACAGAAAGGUUACCAGACACUCACCACUUUUUACAACUGAGACAGACAACGUUGCUAAAACAGGAAGACAUUGUGCCUUGGGGAACAUGACUGAGCACAGCUCUGUUCUGCUCCUCCUCAUAACACUGAAAGCCCUGUGACAGUUCCAAUCUCACUGUUAGAACUGGGAGUAAAAGAUCCUGCUGUACUGUGAGAUAUUCUGCCUGCAAACUAUUUCAAGUGACCUUGGCAAGCACUCUUCGAUGCUGGAAGAGCCAAAGUGAUUUCUCAUUGUUUGGACACCCAGGGAACAUGAGACUGUUGAGUUACUUGGAAUGAGGAGGGGAAAGUCCCCGCCGAAUCCAGAACAUCCUUCUCUCGAUUUCUGAGUCAGCUGCAAGUUCUAAAUGAUUUUUUUGCAAGGUGAGAGAUGCUGUGCCCAAAAUUUGAAAAAACAAACCAUAAGAAAAACAACAACAGGAUGAAUUCUGUCGCUACCUUCAGAAUGCCAUUAAACAGCUUUGAGCUUUCUUUUCCAGGUUACUAGGUAUUUGCCUGUUUACCUGUCAG